rfam:Acinetobacter brisouii CIP 110357 genomic scaffold adgTE-supercont2.1, whole genome shotgun sequence.
GCGGGAAUAGCUCAGUUGGUAGAGCAUAACCUUGCCAAGGUUGGGGUCGCGAGUUCGAGUCUCGUUUCCCGCU